UACGGAGGGUGCGUGCGUUAAUCGGAAUUACUGGGCGUAAAGCGUGCGCAGGCGGCCCGUUAAGACAGGUGUGAAAUCCCUGGGCUCAACCUAGGAAUUGCGCUUGUGACUGGCGGGCUCGAGUACGGUAGAGGGGGGUGGAAUUCCUGGUGUAGCAGUGAAAUGCGUAGAGAUCAGGAGGAACACCGAUGGCGAAGGCAGCCCCCUGGGCCUGUACUGACGCUCAUGCACGAAAGCGUGGGGAGCAAACAGG
rnacentral:rRNA from 1 species